GGUGGUGGUAGCUCAGUGGUUAAGACAUGGGACUUCUAAAUCCAAAGGCUGUGAGUUCAAAUCCCAGCACCACCA